AUUGAACGCUGGCGGCAGGCCUAACACAUGCAAGUCGAGCGAGCGGCGGACGGGUGAGUAAUGUCUGGGAAACUGCCUGAUGGAGGGGGAUAACUACUGGAAACGGUAGCUAAUACCGCAUACCAUCAGAUGUGCCCAGAUGGGAUUAGCUAGUAGUUGGGGUAACGGCUCACCUAGGCGACGAUCCCUAGCUGGUCUGAGAGGAGGAGCAGCCACAAUGGGCGUGAGACCCGGUCCAGAGUCCUACGGGAUGACGCAGUGCGGAAUAUUGCAUAAUGGGCGCAAGCCUGAUGCAGCCAUGCCGAGUGUGUGAAGAAGGCCUUCGGGUUGUAAAGCCCAUUCAGCGGGGAAGCGUUACCCGCCGAAGAAGCACCGGCUAACUCCGUGCCCGCCGCCGCGGUAAUUC
rnacentral:rRNA from 1 species